GAAAUGCGAUAAGUAGUGUGAAUUGCAGAAUUCAGUGAAUCAUCGAAUCUUUGAACGCACAUUGCGCCCUUUGGUAUUCCAAAGGGCAUGCCUGUUCGAGCGUCAUUUGUACCCUCAAGCUUUACUUGGUGUUGGGCGUCUUGUCUCUAGCUUUGCUGGAGACUCGCCUUAAAGUAAUUGGCAGCCGGCCUACUGGUUUCGGAGCGCAGCACAAGUCGCACUCUCUAUCAGCAAAGGUCUAGCAUCCAUUAAGCCUUUUUUCAACUUUUGACCUCGGAUCAGGUAGGGAUACCCGCUGAACUUAAGC
rnacentral:misc_RNA from 1 species